CCUACGGGGGGCAGCAGUGGGGAAUAUUGGACAAUGGGGGGAACCCUGAUCCAGCCAUGCCGCGUGUGUGAAGAAGGCCCUCGGGUUGUAAAGCACUUUCAGUGAGGAAGAACGCCUGGUGGUUAAUACCCAUCAGGAAAGACAUCACUCACAGAAGAAGCACCGGCUAAUUCCGUGCCAGCAGCCGCGGUAAUACGGAGGGUGCGAGCGUUAAUCGGAAUUACUGGGCGUAAAGCGCGCGUAGGUGGCUUGAUAAGCCGGUUGUGAAAGCCCCGGGCUCAACCUGGGAACGGCAUCCGGAACUGUCAAGCUAGAGUGCAGGAGAGGAAGGUAGAAUUCCCGGUGUAGCGGUGAAAUGCGUAGAGAUCGGGAGGAAUACCAGUGGCGAAGGCGGCCUUCUGGACUGACACUGACACUGAGGUGCGAAAGCGUGGGUAGCAAACAGGAUUAGAUGCCCCUGUAGUC
rnacentral:rRNA from 1 species